rnacentral:tRNA from 1 species
UGGGGCGUCGUCAAGCGGUAAGACCCAAGGUUUUGAUCCUUGUAUUCGGGGGUUCGAAUCCCUCCGCCCCAGCCA